CCCUUAGAUGUUCUGGGCCGCACGCGCGCUACACUGACGAUGGCAACGAGUUUUUCCUUCGCCGAAAGGUGUGGGUAAUCUUUUGAAGCAUCGUCGUGCUGGGGAUAGAUCAUUGCAAUUUUUGAUCUUGAACGAGGAAUUCCUAGUAAGCGCGAGUCAUCAGCUCGCGUUGAUUACGUCCCUGCCCUUUGUACACACCGCCCGUCGCUCCUACCGAUUGAGUGGUCCGGUGAGGCUUUGGGAUCUGAGCGGAAAGAGCGUUUCGCUGUUUCUGCUCGGAAAACUCAGUCGAACCUUAUCAUUUAGAGGAAGGAGAAGUCGUAACA
rnacentral:rRNA from 1 species